UUAAUGAAAAAUAAACACCACCAGUGGAGUCUUCCCCGAAAAGUUGAUGUAACAACUUCUUAGAAUUGAUGUGAGCUACUGUUAUUAAAGCCAAGAAUGUUCUUUCUCAUUUGGACAUUCAAGAAUCAGCUCAUGUAUCUCUCCUAUUGUAAAACCUGACCUAAUGUCCACAGGGAGAGGUUCCUUAUUACUCUUUUCUGGAAGCAAAGAUUCAGAAAUCCAGACCCCUCCUGAAAGGAUCUGCUGGCACAAAGAUCUCAGAUGAGGGGCAUGUGAAGGCUGAACUCUGACCACCAUUCUUUGUCCUAAAUUUCUUCCUGAG